rnacentral:lncRNA from 1 species
GUUUCUCAAAGCGGCUUUCCUAAUCUCGAAAUCUUGCUUAUUUUGCAAGACGGGCAGUUUCACUUGGCCAUCAGCUUUUAUGUUAUGUGCUUUGUAUUUGCAUUACGUUGUUGGAGUCUGACAGCUCUGGAGAGGAUACUGGACAAAGAUUUUGACACAGUGGACAGAGAAGGAGCUUGGUUUUAAAAGGAAGGGAUCUGAUCCCUGAAUUCAUUCUCCAUUUCUUUUCUUUUUUUCUUGUUUGUCUUUUUAGGGCUGUACCUGCGGCACAUGGAAGUUACCAGGCUAGGGGACAAAUCAGAGCUGCCGUGGCCAGCCUACACCACAGCCACAGCAAUGUGGGAUCUGUGAGCCGCAUCUGUGACCUAUACCACAGCUCACAGCAGCAGUGGAUCCUUAACCCAUUGAGAGGGGCCAGGGAUCAAACCUGCAUCCUUGUAGAUACUAGUCAGGUUCAUUUCUGUUGAGCCAUGAUGGGAAUUCCCUCUCCCUUUCUUUAAGUUCAAUGAAACAGACUUUUCCUGCCAGCCCUUUGGCUGGGUGUGGCUUUGCUGACUGGAUGAACAGCAGUGACAUGCCAUUUUCAGGCCUGACCCACAAACACGUCCCCACAUGUGUUCCUGUAUGCUCUUCUCCUCUUCUGGGCUUGAUGCAGAUGGCAGUGAAGCCCUGGAGAGCAGCAGACCCAGGAGGUGAAGAGAAACAGGUCCCCAAGGGGCAGCCUGGAGGGUAAUAACCUGAGUGCCCUGAAUUGUCACUUGAGUUAGACAAAAUUCCAUUGCAGUCAGCCAUUCAACCUCUCAGUCUAUUUAUUACCGUGGCUUAGCUCAUCCCAAAUAACACAGUGCCCUGCUUACUUUUAGGAAUGGAAUAACACGUAUGCAGUGAUGAGGUGCCCCUGGUAUAUUUCAGCAAGACAUUUAGCUGGUGUCAUGUGACUUCCCACAGACACAGACACACUGAGAAAUGGGCAGUUCCUGACCAAGGUCAGAGUAGUGACUGAAUGGCUAACCAAACACAUUGGCUAGUGAAUCACUGUUCAACCACACACACUCCUUUGGCUUGACUCUUGGCUCUGUCCCUUUCAACAUCUGUAGUAAUGACUCAGCUGAAUACAGAGAAGGCAGGCUUCUCGAAGCUGCAGAGUACAUGAUGCUGGAAGGGGUAGCUGGAUUGCACAACCAUGAUUUCCACAGACCGUGGCCCUGGACUUCCAUGGUGUGGCUGCAUUAUGACAACCAUAGAGAAAAUAACUGGGGAGUUCCCAUUGUGGCACAGUGGAAAUGAAUCCAACUAGUAUCCAUGAGGAUGCAGGUUCGAUACCUGGCCUUGCUCAAUGCUCACAGCAUUGCUGUGAGCUGUGGUGUGGUCUGAAGAUGGCCCUGAUCCCAUGUUGCUGUGGCUGAGGCACAGGCCGGCAGCUGCAGCUUCAAUUUGACCCCUUGCCUGAGAAUUUAUAUAGGCCCUAAAAAGAAAAAAAAUAAUUGACGAAAACUUUGGCCUUUGUGGCCAGAGGCAGAAGCCUUUAUGUUAAGUGGGCCAUAGAGAACAGAGUGAAACUCACUGGGGCUAAAUAUAAGGUCCCGAUCUUAAUCCGAAAUAAACUAGACCAAGAUGGAGAAACAUGGCUAAGGACAUAUCAUUUUUUAAAAAGAUUUGGCUGUUUAGGCUGCAUUACUGAAGGUAUUGUGUCUAGAGUGAGGAGGUGAUACUCUCACUAUUUGCUACACAAGGGAGACUCCUUCCUGGAGUUUUUCAGUCAAGUGCCAUGCUAGACACAAGAUGUGUUCAGAGGAGAACACAGGCGAAGGAACAGGGAUGUGGAUUUUUCUUUGAGAAAAAAUUUAUGUUGGUUAAGUCUGUUUAAUUUUCAAUUGAGUUUCCACAAUAGGGAGUGAGUCCCCUGUCUCUGGAGGUGGUCAAAUAAGUUAGCCAGAUGAAAUUACUGAUGUUAAGUCAUUUUUUUUACCAACAAGAAGAGCAAUUUCAUAUGGCUUAACCUAACCUUUGGUGGAGGGAGAGUCAAACAAUUGAUCAAGUGACAGAAAUGCAACUCGAACUGGCUUAAGAAAGAAAGUGAGGGGUCACGUGGAGUGGAGGUAUGCUGAUUCGUGUAACUUAAAAAUCCAAGGAAAUUCUAGCAUCAAGUAUGGCUUGAUCCGGGCAUCUCUCUCACCGUCACUAUCUUUCCUCCCUCUUCUGCCCUAUGCUGGCUCUGUUCCCAUACAGGCCUGUCCCUUGGGGUAGGCUGUUGGGCACCAGCAGCUACAGCCUUGGAUUAAACCAACCUAACAACCCUCACCCACAAUUCCUGGGACUGACUCCUACGGAACUGACUUGGGUCCUACGUCCAUUCCUAAAUCAAUAAGUGAGGCUGGGGGGGUGGGGAGAAGUCGAAUGAAUGAUUGACUUGGCCUUCAAUGCAAGUUGAUCCUGGAGUCCAGACAAGGGUAGGAUGAGAAGAGUGGGGUUUGGCCACACAGCCUCAGCAAAGACAAGGUGGCUUUCCAAAACAAACAAUAGUAACAACUGAGGCGUAAUAGACCAACCUGAAUGAUGAAAAGGACCAGCCACGUAAAGAUCCAGGGAAGGUAUGUUCCAGGCAGAGAGUAGCAGGUGCUGAUGCAGGGAUGAGCUAGUGAGUUUGAGGGACAGAAAGAAGGCCAGUGUUUCCAUGAUCUAUUGCUAUAAGGCAAAGCAUCAAAACUUAGUUGCUUAAGGUGAUAGCCAUUUUCUCUCUCACAGUUUGAGAUGACCAGACUCACCAGGCAGCUCUCUGCUCCAUAUGAUUCCAGCUGACCAAAGACAUCUGGAGGCUUGACUGGGCUGGAUCUCCAAGGAGGCUUGCUCAUAAUGUCUCUGUUCUCCAUGUGGCCUCUCCCUAUGCCUUUUGUUUUUUCAUGGCCUGUGGCUGGAUUCCAAGAGAGGAGGCAGAAGCUGCCAAAUUUCUUAAGGCCUCAGCUCAGAAGCCCUAGAAAAUUCCUUCUGCCACAUUGCACUGGUCAAAAGUAGUUGCAGGGCCAACAUAUUCAAGGGUGUAACAUUAGUGUAUCCCUAUACACCAAAGAACUGGUGGCAGCUGUCUUGGGCGGCUUUCUACCCCAGCCAGCAUGCUAGCCACAGUCAAGGGCAGAGUGGCAUGUGAUAGGGUUGGAAAGGCAGAAAGAGGAUAGAUCAAGCAAGGCAAACUGUGACCCACAGCCCAAACCUAGACCAUGGCCUUUUUUUGUAAAUAAAGUUUUCUUGGAGGGAACUAUACUCAAUAUUUCAUAAUAACAUAUAAGGGAAAAUAAUCUGAAACAGAAUACAUAUAUAACUGAAUAAUUUUACUGUACAUCUGAAACUAAGACAACAUUGUAAAGCAACUAUACUUC